rnacentral:rRNA from 1 species
GGCGGCGUGCCUCAGACAUGCAAGUCGAACGCGAAAUCCCGAGCAAUCGGGAGAGUAGAGUGGCGCACGGGUAAGUAACACGUAGGUAAUCUACCUUCGGAUGGGGAAUAACAACCGGAAACGGUUGCUAAUACCGCAUAAUGCAGCGGCACCUAAUGGUGACAGUUGUUAAAGCGGGGGAUCGAAAGACCUCGCGUCUGAAGAGGAGCCUGCGGCGGAUUAGCUAGUUGGUAAGGUAAUGGCUUACCAAGGCAACGAUCCGUAACCGGCCUGAGAGGGCGGUCGGUCACACUGACACUGACAUACGGGUCAGACUCCUACGGGAGGCAGCAGUCGGGAAUUUUGGGCAAUGGGCGAAAGCCUGACCCAGCAACGCCGCGUGAAGGAUGAAAUCCCUCGGGAUGUAAACUUCGCAAGAACGGGAAGAAUAAGCCGGUGUAAAUAUCACCGGUGAUGACGGUACCGUUUGUAAGCUCCGGCUAACUCCGUGCCAGCAGCCGCGGUAAUACGGGGGGAGCAAGCGUUGUUCGGAUUUACUGGGCGUAAAGGGCGCGUAGGCGGCCAGCACAAGUCAGUUGUGAAAUCUCCGAGCUUAACUCGGAAAGGUCAACUGAUACUGUGCGGCUAGAGUGCGGAAGGGGCAACUGGAAUUCUUGGUGUAGCGGUGAAAUGCGUAGAUAUCAAGAGGAACACCUGCGGCGAAGGCGGGUUGCUGGGCCGACACUGACGCUGAGGCGCGAAAGCU